rnacentral:rRNA from 1 species
GAGGCAUGGGGGCAGCCUGAUCCAGCCAUCCCGCGUGUGCGAUGAAGGCCUUCGGGUUGUAAAGCACUUUUGGCAGGAAAGAGACGUCAUGGGCUAAUACCCCGUGAAACUGACGGUACCUGCAGAAUAAGCACCGGCUAACUACGUGCCAGCAGCCGCGGUAAUAUACC